GCGGUUAAAAAGCUCGUAGUCGAAUCUGUGUCCCGCGCCGCCGGUUCAUCGUCCGCGGUGUUAACUGGCGUGCCGCGGGACGUCCUGCCGGUGGGCUUGCUCGGCUACCCCGUGCUCUUCAGAGUGUCGAGCGGGCCGGCACGUUUACUUUGAAUCAAACUGAGUGCUCAAGGCAGGCAAAAUUUUACCGCUGAAAUUUGCAUGGAAUAAUGGAAUAGGACCUCGGUUCUAUUUUGUUGGUUUUCAGAACCCCGAGGUAAUGAUAAAUAGGGACUGACGGGGGCAUUAGUAUUGCGGCGUUAGAGGUGAAAUUCUUGGAUCGUCGCAAGACUACUAAAGCGAAAGCAUUUGCCAAGGAUGUUUUCAUUAAUCAAGAACGAAAGUUAGAGGUUCGAAGGCGAUCAGAUACCGCCCUAGUUCUAACCAUAAACGAUGCCAGCCAGCGAUCCGCGGGGUUCUUUGAUGACCCCGCGGGCAGCUUCCGGGAAACCAAAGCUUUUGGGUUCCGGGGGUAGUAUGGUUGCAAAGCUGAAACUUAAAGGAAUUGACGGAAGGGCACCACCAGGAGUGGAGCUUGCGGCUUAAUUUGACUCAACACGGGAAACUCACCAGGCCAGACACUGAAGGAUUGACAGAUUGAAGCUCUUUCUUGAUUCAGUGGGUGGUGGUGCAUGGCCGUUCUU
rnacentral:rRNA from 1 species